UGCCAGCCGCCGCGGUAAUACGGAGGGUGCAAGCGUUAAUCGGAAUUACUGGGCGUAAAGCGCGCGUAGGCGGUUUGGUCAGUUGGAUGUGAAAGCCCCGGGCUUAACCUGGGAACUGCAUUCAAUACUGCCAGACUAGAGUACGAGAGAGGGGGGUAGAAUUUCUAGUGUAGCGGUGAAAUGCGUAGAUAUUAGAAGGAAUACCAGUGGCGAAGGCGGCCCCCUGGCUCGAUACUGACGCUGAGGUGCGAAAGCGUGGGGAGCAAACAGGAUUAGAUA
rnacentral:rRNA from 1 species